rnacentral:rRNA from 1 species
UACGGAGGAUGCGAGCGUUAUCCGGAUUUAUUGGGUCUAAAGGGUGCGUAGGCGGAUCGUUAAGUCAGUGGUCAAAUUGAGGGGCUCAACCCCUUCCCGCCAUUGAAACUGGCGAUCUUGAGUGGAAGAGAAGUAUGCGGAAUGCGUGGUGUAGCGGUGAAAUGCAUAGAUAUCACGCAGAACCCCGAUUGCGAAGGCAGCAUGCCGGCUUCCUACUGACGCUGAAGCACGAAAGCGUGGGGAUCGAACAGG